GCCUACGGGAGGCAGCAGUAGGGAAUCUUCCACAAUGGGCGCACGCCUGAUGGAGCAACGCCGCGUGGGUGAAGAAGGUCUUCGGAUCGUAAAACCCUGUUGUUAGAGAAGAAAGUGCGUGGGAGUAACUGUUCACGUUUCGACGGUAUCUAACCAGAAAGCCACGGCUAACUACGUGCCAGCAGCCGCGGUAAUACGUAGGUGGCAAGCGUUAUCCGGAUUUAUUGGGCGUAAAGGGAACGCAGGCGGUCUUUUAAGUCUGAUGGGAAAGCCUUCGGCUUAACCGGAGUAGUGCAUUGGAAACG
rnacentral:rRNA from 1 species